rnacentral:rRNA from 1 species
GAUGAACGCUGGCGGCGUGCCUAAUACAUGCAAGUCGAGCGAACGGACGAGAAGCUUGCUUCUCUGAUGUUAGCGGCGGACGGGUGAGUAACACGUGGAUAACCUACCUAUAAGACUGGGAUAACUUCGGGAAACCGGAGCUAAUACCGGAUAACAUUUUGAACCGCAUGGUUCAAAAGUGAAAGACGGUCUUGCUGUCACUUAUAGAUGGAUCCGCGCUGCAUUAGCUAGUUGGUAAGGUAACGGCUUACCAAGGCAACGAUGCAUAGCCGACCUGAGAGGGUGAUCGGCCACACUGGAACUGAGACACGGUCCAGACUCCUACGGGAGGCAGCAGUAGGGAAUCUUCCGCAAUGGGCGAAAGCCUGACGGAGCAACGCCGCGUGAGUGAUGAAGGUCUUCGGAUCGUAAAACUCUGUUAUUAGGGAAGAACAUAUGUGUAAGUAACUGUGCACAUCUUGACGGUACCUAAUCAGAAAGCCACGGCUAACUACGUGCCAGCAGCCGCGGUAAUACGUAGGUGGCAAGCGUUAUCCGGAAUUAUUGGGCGUAAAGCGCGCGUAGGCGGUUUUUUAAGUCUGAUGUGAAAGCCCACGGCUCAACCGUGGAGGGUCAUUGGAAACUGGAAAACUUGAGUGCAGAAGAGGAAAGUGGAAUUCCAUGUGUAGCGGUGAAAUGCGCAGAGAUAUGGAGGAACACCAGUGGCGAAGGCGACUUUCUGGUCUGUAACUGACGCUGAUGUGCGAAAGCGUGGGGAUCAAACAGGAUUAGAUACCCUGGUAGUCCACGCCGUAAACGAUGAGUGCUAAGUGUUAGGGGGUUUCCGCCCCUUAGUGCUGCAGCUAACGCAUUAAGCACUCCGCCUGGGGAGUACGACCGCAAGGUUGAAACUCAAAGGAAUUGACGGGGACCCGCACAAGCGGUGGAGCAUGUGGUUUAAUUCGAAGCAACGCGAAGAACCUUACCAAAUCUUGACAUCCUUUGACAACUCUAGAGAUAGAGCUUUCCCCUUCGGGGGACAAAGUGACAGGUGGUGCAUGGUUGUCGUCAGCUCGUGUCGUGAGAUGUUGGGUUAAGUCCCGCAACGAGCGCAACCCUUAAGCUUAGUUGCCAUCAUUAAGUUGGGCACUCUAAGUUGACUGCCGGUGACAAACCGGAGGAAGGUGGGGAUGACGUCAAAUCAUCAUGCCCCUUAUGAUGUGGGCUACACACGUGCUACAAUGGACAAUACAAAGGGCAGCGAAACCGCGAGGUCAAGCAAAUCCCAUAAAGUUGUUCUCAGUUCGGAUUGUAGUCUGCAACUCGACUACAUGAAGCUGGAAUCGCUAGUAAUCGUAGAUCAGCAUGCUACGGUGAAUACGUUCCCGGGUCU